rnacentral:rRNA from 1 species
AUGAGAGGGAGAGAGAGGAGGGAGAAAGAGAGGAAGAGGAGAGGAGGCACGGCGUCGGAUGGGAGAGUGGCCAACCCGGCUCGCGUUGGCUUGGGCCGCACCCCUCCCCGAAGAACGGCGAUGAUGGAGGGAUCCGCCGGCACCAUCCAGGCUCCCGACCGACGGACUCGCUGGGUCGCCACCCCUCCCGUGCGGUGGGGACAUCCACGGCGAUGCGGGCUGGGGACCGAGCGGCGGGGCCCGUGCCGAGGCCUUGCGGUCAUGAGGACGUCGGGUCCUCCGUACAUCGUGUUCGUCCCACCCUGA